AACAAACAGCAAGAGAAAAAGAAGAAAGAAAAAAGAAAAAUGAAAUCGAGGAAAGAAAAGUAACAGUUGCUUCACGUUAUCCAAAAAGUUAUU
rnacentral:ribozyme from 14 species